AGUCUCUCACGAGUCACAAGUACGCAAGCUAGCGAACUUUCUCAUCACACCAAAUGCAUGAACAGAACACAACAGAUUUGUGCAUCUAUAAAAGAAGCCAGGACCAGCCAAACAUUUACCCUUCUUAUAAAAUAACUCAAAAACCAAAACCCAAAACCAGGACCACUAGCUAAGGCACCAUAUGUAAAUAUAUAUAUAUAUAUAUAUAUAUAUAUAUAUGCACGUCAGUAUAUAUCACGUUUCCUCCAAACAAAGGGUGGGUUUUUGAAUCGCAAGCAGAUAUAUGAGAGAGCUGUUUCAUGAGAGAGUUUUGGAGUAUGCAUAUCUUAUAAACGAGUGCAGGUGGAGGCUUCCAAAGGGAUCGCAUUGAUCUAAUCAACCAAAUCAACAUGGUGAGUUUAGAUAUUUGAUAUUGGAUCGAUGCGAUCCCUUGGGAAGUUUCCGUCGUCAGCUCUAAAUCAUCAUGUUCAUGAAUCAUGUGGUUCGUUCAUCCAGGAUAGCAUUGGAGUUGGAGAGAAGGCUUUUCGCUUGAGAGAGAAAAGUAGAAGCCCAAACCAGUCCCACAAGAGCCCAAUAGUAGAAGCCCACACUCUCAUUUUUGGUCUAAAUCCGCUUCACUAACAGCCCAAUGGAGCCAAAGGAGAUACAAAAGACGUGGCCCUUGGCUCACGAAUCAAAAACAGUACAACAAAAGGGAAUCAGCUAAACUAAGCACAGUUUGAAAAAUUGGCCUACACCCAUGUCAAAACCCGAUUAGUUCGGCCCGGCCCAAUUAGAGGACAAGGUAGGCCAUCCGAGACCAACACACGAAUCAGAGACAGUGGUGGCCUGUCCGUAGUGGUGGUUCCAGGAUUCGAAAGCUUGCUGAGCAAAACUUAUAUACUAAACUCGACGAUACAAGUGGAUUUUGUUAAUAAACAUAUAAAGAUAUACAUAGUUAGAGGGA